rnacentral:lncRNA from 1 species
UUCUAUUUGACUCUCAGAUAUGAAGUGCACGCCCCAAAUUUACUUUUUAGCACCAAAAAAAUUUGAAUUUUUCAAAGUGCGAUGUAACCACAGUAUUUGACGGUUCUAUUUGACUCUCAGAUAUGAAGUGCCCCCCCCCAAAUUUACUUUUUAGCACCAAAAAUAUUUGAAUUUUUCAAAGUGCAAUGUAACCACAGUAUUUGAUGGUUCUAUUUGACUCUCAGACAUGAAGUGCACGCCCCAAAUUAACUUUUUAGCACCAAAGAAAUGUGAAUUUUUCAAAGUGCGAUGUAACCACAGUAUUUGACGGUUCUAUUGGACUCUCAGAUAUGAAGUGCACCGCAGGCAGCAAAUGUACUAUUUAGCACCAAAAAAAUGAGAAUUUUCAAGUGCGAUGUAACCACAGUAUUUGACGGUUCUAUUUCUCAGACUCUCAGAUACGAUGUAACCACAGUAUUUGACGGUUCUAUUUGACUCUCAGAUACGAAGUGCACGCCCCAAAUUUACUUUUUAGCACCAAAGAAAUGUGAAUUUUUCAAAGUGCGAUGUAACCACAGUAUUUGACGGUUCUGUUUGACUCUCAGAUAUGAAGUGCACCGCAGGCAGCAAAUGUACUAUUUAGCACCAAAAAAAUGUGAAUUCGUCAAACUGCUAUGUCACAGCAGUAUUUAACGGUUCUAUUUGACUCUCAGAUAUGAAGUGCACUCCACAAAUGUACUUUUUAGCACCAAAAAAUGAGAAUUAGUCAAACUGCAAUGUCACAGCAGUAUUUGACGGUUCUAUUUGACUCUCAGAUAUGAAGUGCACGCCACAAAUUUACUUUUUAGCACCCAAAAAAUUUUUGUUUGUCAAACUGCAAUGUCACAACAGUAUUUAAAAAUGCCUAGAUGUUGCCCACUGAGCUACCAGAACAGGAUUAAAGUAAUGUGCCUGGCACACAUGCAGUUGCAAGUGUCCACCUAACAAACAGACUGAUUGCUUAUUUCUCUGUGGCACUGGGCUCAGGGCAGGGCACAAAAAUGUAGUAUAGCACCCACAAAAAUAAACGCUGUAGUUUGCAGAUUCAGCACCAGAAUUCUUUCCUAAUCAGUCCCUCACAGCUGCAGCAUCCUUUCCCUACACUAACAAGAGCUCAUGUGACUCUAUAGAUAUAGAGGAUUGGCCUUGUUGCACUGGCCAAUCACAGCCAUGCCAUUAGUAGGCAUGGCUGUGAUGGCUUCUAAGGGCACAUGAGUCAAACGCUGGUUGAUUGGCUGCCCUGCAGCUUUUCAAAACGCGCCAUUAAAUCGCCGAACACCGAACUCGAACGGUUACUGAAAUGUCCGGGCUCGGGGUCCAAAAAUCGUAAUGUUCGGUACGAACCUGAACUUUCCAGUUCGGGUUCGCUCAUCUCUACUCAUUUUUUACAUGUUAUAUGAGUUAAUUUACUAAAGCAGUACAAGCUUAACACAGAGUGUAAAGGCAUGGAUUAUUGCAAAGUGUGGCACAAGAUAUGUG